UAAUACGUAGGGACCAAGCGUUGUUCGGAUUUACUGGGCGUAAAGGGCGCGUAGGCGGCAAUUCAAGUCAGCUGUGAAAUCUCCGGGCUUAACUCGGAACGGUCAGCUGAUACUGCUUUGCUAGAGUGCAGAAAGGGCAAUCGGAAUUCUUGGUGUAGCGGUGAAAUGCGUAGAUAUCAAGAGGAACACCUGAGGCGAAGGCGGGUUGCUAGGCUGACACUGACGCUGAGGCGCGAAAGCUAGGGUAGCAAACGGG
rnacentral:rRNA from 1 species